CCAGCAGCAGAAGCCGGCGGUUUCCAGCUGUGUGCCGUUGCUCCGCUAUUCUGUCUGUGUGCGUUUGCACGGGGAACGUCGGGCCCUGAAAUCUGCGGAUGCGUACCUGCAACCGCCAGAAAUAUUUCCUAUCCUGCAUGGAAUUUCCUUUCCAAAGAGCCAUCAGUGGAGAUGCAGGAGGGCUCGUUUCGUUCUGCCCGAAGGGGGAAUGCUGCUGCACGACUCUUCUGCGCUGAAACCGAGAGUCCUGCUAUCUGGAAGGGAACAUCCUUGUUGCUGCCAGGAGCUGCCACAGAGCAGUCCAGCCCCAAAGCCUGCCGUGCAGACACAGUGUCUGUGGUUGAAGAAGAGACCUCCUGGAUGUCAGGUUUCAUCCUCCCAUCAGUUACUACCCCGACAGCAGAACUCGUUCUGUUGGAGGUGCAUGCAAAGUUGGCUCAGUAUUAUCCCCCAAAGCUACGUAGCCCUUAUUUAAAGCUUUCUACAGCUGGUUUGUCAGUGUGGGCUGUCGGAGGUCACCACCACUUGUCUGUCAGUGUCCUGCUCUGCACCGCCUGCUCCUGAGCUGAAGCUUGGCCAGACGAGCUGCAGCAGACCUGCUUCCAGCAGCACAGCCGCCUCAGUGCUGGAAGCGACCAGCAGAAAGGCAGUGGGUGAGACACAGAUGUGCUCUGACAUCUGAAACCGCAAGGAAGGGAAGUCAAGUUGGCACAAAUAGCAGAGCUCUGAACUGCUGCCUGAGGUGGCGACACACGUCGUGCCCUGCCACGCUCGCCAGACAGGCGGCAGCCUUGCUGGAAGGGCAGGAUGAUAACUGAGAGCAUUCAAGCUUUGAAUUGUGGUAACAGUCUCUCCUGCGCAGUGAAGGGCCUUUGUACAAUUUGCUAUAUGCUAAAAUGGGGCAUGGGAUGGGAUCCCACCUAGAAUCAUAGAAUCAUAGAAUGGCCCGGGUUGGAAGGGACCUCCAGGAUCACAAAGCUCCAACCCCCCGCCGCAUGCAGGGCCACCAACGUCCACAUCUAAUACCAGCCCAGGCUGCCCAGGGCCCCAUCCAACCUGGCCUUGAACACCUCCAGGGAUGGAGCAUCCACAGCCUCUCUGGGCAGCUGUUCCAGCAGCUCACCACACUCAUAGGAAAGAACUUCCCCUUGGUAGUUCACCUUUCUUCACUUCACCCUCAUGGUGAAGAUUUGUUAAUCACCUUCUAACAGCCCAGCAACAGCCUACAAAGUUGGUGUCAAUGACUUUAAAUACUAAGAGAUCAGAGGCUGGCCCUUGUAAAGAGACCCAAGAGCUCCUUCAGGUUGAAUCCAAAUGUUGUGGUGUAUGGAGUACUAGCCAAGGGAAAUCAAGGGAAAAGAAAUAUGAGGGGAAGAAAUGAGAGUAUUUCACAAUCUUUCACCAAUGGCAGACACCAGAAUUCAUGGUGACAACAAAUCCUGACUCUAUCACUGACAGAUCGGUGUGAGUGACGUUGUGGCACGUCUGUAUUACUGCGAGUGCUGCCGCUGACAGGCGCUGAGUCACAUAACCUUUCUGCCUGUUUUCUCAUUUGCAAGUGAAGAUAAUUAACAGGAGGAAGCGCUUUGUCUGAAGAAACAAACUCAUGCUUCGUAAAGAGAAGAAUGUGACCAACCUGUGAUGUGGAAUUUCAGUCUGAAAAACACUUUUCUCUAGACAUCUCUUGGAAACAAGCAACUUCAGAUUCAAAAGCAACUGCUGUGUGGCACAUUUUACCUGGAGUAGAAAACACAACUGGUUUCUUUUAAUUAGGGUGAAAAUGCAUGUGAUGGAUAAUAUAUCUGGGUGGUAGGCUGCUGGUUUUUCAUGAAGUUGUUUGUGCACAUGCACUGUUCCCAAGGGUGACUGAUAUCUCAGAAUGAGGAUGCAGAUAAAUCACGACUAACUUCAGUGGAAGGACGUGUACACUGCAGCUGGUACUUCCAAACAGCCCAAUGUAAUUUAAUGUCUGGGUAGAGGUUACAUAUUCCCAGUAACUAAAGCCUGGAACUUGACAUCAGCACUGUGAGGAUACUGAAUAGUCACUGCCUCAACACACUGUAAUUUUUAACCAUGUUUUAGAAAGCAAAAAAGGAGGCACUUGUGUUGUUUUACAUGCGAUUUCAAAGAUGGAUGAAUCCGCCUUGGAAAGACUACUACAUCCCAAAGGAGUUAGCCCACCUGCACAGCAUCAGUAAGGCAUCUGCUGCCCCAAGCAAGCACACUUGUCAGUGAAAAGCUGGGGGGUGAUGCUCACUUCUCCUGGGCACACUGAUACUUCAGCAGGACAGAGCAUAUGCUGAACUGGGAGGUGAGGGACACUAUGGAAGUUGAUGAGUCUCCACUGUAUCUGUUUACAUCUGUGAGCUGUGCUGGGGCUGAGCAUCUACCUGUCUAAAGCUCAUAGCCUAUACAAGGUGCUCUACAACACACGUGUGUCUGUGAAACAUCUGCCCUUCUCUCCCUCGCGCUGAAGAGCUGUGAAUGAAGAAUGAAUGAAGAAGCACUGCUGUAAGUUGAAGAACAUUCCUUUCCAUAAACCACAUGUAGCCUUUAAGAUAAGUGGCUAAAUUGUUUUUGUUUUUUAACUGAGAACAAGUUUUACUUGGUUAUAAUGAAAUAUGCUAAAUGCAUGUUCUGAACACAGGUGUAACUCAUUGAGUCUGAUAACUCCUAAGUUGAGUUCUGUACAAGAAAAAUCUUUUGUGCUGUAGCUGCAAAACAUUUUGCUAAAAGCAACCUGAUCCUGUGCCUUGUUUGUUAGCAGCCCAUUUACUCAGCCACUGCUUCCUUGUUCUUCUUACGUAAACUUCCUCAAAGCAAAAACAUUGGAAACAUUUUCCACUGCAAAUGUGUCCAGCAGAAGUCAAUAAACAAAGAAGUAAACACGGGUCUGUAAAUUCAGAGAGCCAUCUACUGGCAGCUAAGUGAAACGAAUUAAAUUAAUGAAGGGCCAAAUCUCUGCCUCUCUCUUGAAAGUCGUUUCUUUGAAGUUGAGGAACCACACAUGAACAAACCGUACAUGCAUGGUUAUCGUUUCAAGAGGUGUGGCAAGAGUGAAGAUGUUGGUGUUCUCAGGGCAAGGAAGAGCAGCCUCAUUUGCCCAGUGCCCAGAUUCUACUGGGUGAAUGGGCAACUAAGGAUAGCAGAGUAAAGGAGUGAGGAGUGUGGGGGCGCCUGUAGCCUUCCUCACAUUCCUCACGUCCAUGCUAUUUCUUUUAUAGACAGCUCAAGUCAGGCGUAGCAAAAACUAAUGGAGCCGAGGUGCCCUAUGUGUAGUGUUUCAAAGAUCAGUUUUAAAGGGAACAGUGGUCUUCAUUGGUGCCAUCAGAAGAUCAGAAGUUACACACAGCAAGAGAGAUACGCUGCGGCUCUGGGGACUGAAUUUAAAUCAUGUCAACUACUGCAAAACAGCUGUGCAUAAAACAGCCGCCUGCCUAGAGCAAAAUUUCCCAGCCCCUGAGCCUGUCCCAGUGGAGGAUCACGUUUCCUUUCUUAGGGACAGCAGUGCUCUUCCCCAGCCUGAUCCCGGGAUAGGGUAUGAAAAUCAGUUUUUGGACGGAGUGAGUGGUAUGAGCAGAAUCACACUGGUAAAAUCUGUGGAGGCAAAUACCUAAACUGCAAUGUCCGCAGGGGGCCAUGCUCAGUUUGUCCCUUUCAUCUCGGAGAGGUGCUUUGAGGAUGGUGCACAUAGUGCUGCCACAAUUGCUUCCACGGGCAGACGGACACAGCAGGCACACGUGAGCAGGGUGACACUCUGGGAGAGAGGUGGCUUGGCUGUAAAGGGACCGCUGGGCUGACAGCACAGUCACAAAGUCUGUGCAUGCACGUGGGAAAGCAACAUGGGAGAAUCCUUUGUUCUCUGAAAGGUUUCCUCAGAUGUACACGGUUCUUUGUUGCUUUGCUGUGCGCUCGCAUUAGCUAUUAACCUUGAAGAUUCCAGUUUCUUUGGGAAACCCAUGACAUUCUACAGUAACAGGUUUGCUUCAGAAACAAAAUAUUCAUCACAGCUGUUAAAUUUUAAUUAAAAACACUUCUAGUCUUUACAAAGCUCUGCAUUCUUUAUCUAACCAUUCUAUUUCCAGUAGUGUUGCUAAGCACAAACAACGCUGUUAGAAGUGUGUCUGUUUUCUGCUCUUGAAUGAGUGGGAGUGACCUUAGAGUAAAAUAUUCUAACAAGCGGCUCUGAGAGCAGCAGAAUUACACAGCCUGGAUUGCAGUGUUCUCCCUUUAUCCUAUCACAGCAUCUCUUUCUACUUAAGCAGCUGUUCCACAAAAACUGGAGGUAUGUAGUAUCUUCAAGGCUCUACAAACCUGAUUACGUUGCAGAGUGAUCAUAAAACUUUCCAAAGGGAAAUGGACCAGAAAUGGCUUACUUCCCUAGGAAAUUAAACUAAAAAUAAGCAAUGAAAAAUUCUCUUCUUUCCAGCUGCUUGACCUAAGGUCUGCACUGUUUACAAAACACACACACGGCUGUUUCUAAACAUACUGCAUAUUACUGAUGGAUGCUCAGAUCCCAGGGGUGAACUAGCAGCCUAGCUGCAGAUACAGGAGCAUCCUCAUUCUCCUAACUGCCCAGCAAUUUGGUGCUGUCUUACCGUUCCGUAGUGCACAGAAGUGGUGUUACCAUGGUAUCUCAGACAUCCAUAAAGCAGAGAGCAUCUUCUCUAAUUCUUAGUCUUUUUGAUGCUGCCUCUUUGUGUUACCUGUUCCGCUCACCUACUAAAAAAGGAAAGACAAAUUACAUCUUCCAUAAUCACAGAUUUGAAAUACUUCAUUACUCAUACCACACUAAUUUAGCACAAAUAGAUGGUUUGCAUGGCCUUUAUGGUAUUAAAAUGUUGCAAGCGUCGACUAUGUGACGUUUGUUAGAAUUCUGUUGAACGCAACAUGUUUUCUCCCACUCCUUCUGCAAAUCUUUCCUACAGAGAAGGCAUUAGUCAAGGUGAAGGAAACUCUCUUUACAGGUAGUUAUUUAUGGUUGCCUGUGGAAUUAUUUUGCAAUCAAAGCUUUGUUUUGCAUGAUCUGACUGAUGCAAAAAGCAGAAAAUAAAUAUCUUCAUUCUCAUAACCUGAUUGCCUGAGGGAUUUACAAUGUAUAUCCAGAUGGCAUAUUGUGUGGCCUAUCAAAUAAGGGCAUGGUUAUUAAAUUUCAGAGCAGGAAGGUGCAGGCAACUAAUUUCAGGCAAGGGAACAGUCAUUUCAUUUGAUCAACUGAAUAAUUCUUUGUUCAAUAUUUACCCAAAUCCAAGCCAUGUGAGCUACUGAGCUCUCAAUAUUCGAGACCAUACACAAACAGACAAGCACAUUCAUCUUUGUCUUUGAAAAUAUAAGCAAAGAUGAAACUUUAAAGAACUAUUAUUUCUAAAACGGGUCAUAACAUUUGGAAGGCGGGAGGCCUGUCUCCUUCUGCGCUGACAGAUUACCUGGACUGUAGGGACAGUCUUUCAUGACUUUAAUACAAACAGCAAGCGUGUUUUACUUUAAAAUCUUUAUCUUGGCUUGGAAUACGUACAGGGCGUGAAUGCAACUUUCCCUGUAUCACUGCUCCUUUCCGGCUUUGGGAAGAAACAGCAACAGCUGCUGUGUGGAGAUGCUCACUGCUGGAGCUUGAAGGAUUCCCCCAAAGGGCUGGGAUGGCUGAUUUAUGGGCGUGCAGCGGUGAGCUGAAGGGCAGGAGGGAGCGGAGUGCUGAGCUCCUACAUCCCGGCUCCAACCCAACAGCUACAUCCUUGAAACAAGGUUUGUCUUCUGCUUUGCACAUUAAUACCCAAGAUCUCGUGUGCUUGUGGACCCGAUCCACGUGGCAGUAGAUAAAAGAAAAAGCAGCCAACAUUAAAGCCAGUCGUUGGCACUUAUCCUUCUGAAGGUUAACUUUAGACCUGGUACUACAAUGUGCUGGCUAUAAAAAAUAUGUAAGCACAACCGGACGGCCUCUGGCCAGCAGAAGGCAGUCAAAUCACUACAUGGAAAGAAAAAAAAAAAGCAUGUUUUCCUCAUGAACUCAAAGGUGUGCUGCUGCAGUGCCAAGCGCAGGGACGGCCUUACUCAAGGGGAGUGUGGGGUAUGGAAUUUAAGCUGCAUCCUGCAGUUCUCUGUUGGUGUUUCUUUUGGUGUUCUUGUUUUUUUUGUUUUUUUUUUUUGGGGGGGGGGGGGGGAGGCAAACAUUCAUUCCCCACACAUCCAGUGAUUAUUUUUCAGCGGAGGACAGACUGAUGAAGAACCGACUUCAUGAAAUGCUACAACCAACCGCUCAGCAGGCUGCUCCUCUCAGGAAAUUGAGAGGUGCGAUUCCUCUGGCGUACUUUUAGAACAUAAACUUUAAAAAGCGAUUUGAAGUGCCAGCACGCACUGAAGUUUCUGCUGGGGAUUUAAAUCCCAUCGGCCCUGAGGAUUUUGGAGCCAUUUUGCUGCGGUG
ensembl:lncRNA